rnacentral:rRNA from 1 species
AGUGAACGCUGGCGGCGUGCCUAAUACAUGCAAGUCGAACGGAGUGGCGCACGGGUUAUUAAUAUAUAGCUAAUCUGCCCCUUGCUGGCGGACAACACUUAGAAAUGACUUCUAAUACUCCAUAGCAAGGGAUGAGACUAUAUCGUAUCAGCUAGUCGGUGGGGUAACGGCCUACCGAGGCUAUGACGCGUAACUUGUCUGAGAGGAUGAUCAGUCACAUGGGAACUGAGACACGGGCCAAACUCCUACGGGAGGCAGCAGUAGGGAAUAUUGCGCAAUGGGGGAAUCCCUGACGCAGCAGCGCCGCGUGGAGGAUGACACUUUUCGGAGCGUAAACUCCUUUUGUUAGGGAAGCGGUACCUAAAGAAUAAGCACCGGCUAACUCCGUGCCAGCAGCCGCGGUAAUUC